rnacentral:sRNA from 1 species
AGCAAUUUGUUGCCGCAAUGUUGCUGCAACUGUUUGCAAGAAAACUAAUUUGCAUACGAAAAAUGAAUAUUUGCCGCAAUAUUGCCGCAACAUUGCAGCUAUUAAUUUUCCUGCAAAUAUUUGCGGCAACGUUGCGGCAAUAUGUUGCG